ACUUCCGCGGUGUUCGGUUGGGUCUUCUUACGCUCCGGUGUUACAUGGCGGAUUAGCCUGUUUGUUGGGUUGUGUUUUUUCAUCACUGUGUGUGCAGUAUUACAGGAAAACCCGAAAGAAAAACUGCUACUUCUGGAAAAACCUACAGACUUUGCAAACUACAAAAUUUAUUGGUCGCUGUGCGUGUAUUUCCAGGAAGCUUUUUGAUCAAAAGUCCUAGUGGCCCAACGAUGGACAUGGAGCCACGGGCGAUUCUGCAAGAUCUUAAGAUCCAGUCCUUCGACAGUAUCCGUUUUGCAUCCUACCGGACGGCUUGCAAACUUCGAUAUGUUCAAAAGUCCACGAAUUUACACCUGGUCGACAUCUGGAACGUGAUCGAAGCCUUCCGAGAAAAUGGUCUAAAUACGCUGGAACCCCAGAACGAGGUCAGCGUAAGCCGACUGGAAACGUUGGUGUCCUCGCUGUAUCACAACCUGAACAAACGUCUUCCUCCAACGCAACAAGUUCCUGUUGAUUCCAAAGCUAGUCUACUGUUGAAUUGGCUGCUGGCAGCCUACUCCGGCGAUAAUUCCGGCAAGAUUCGUGUAUUUUCGAUCAAGGUGGCGUUGGCCGUUAUGUGUGCCGGGAAGAUGGUCGACAAGCUGAGAUACGUGUUCUCACAAAUAUCCGAUGGUGCCGGGCAACUGAUACACUGGAAGCUCGGAGACUUUCUGCGAGAGGUUCUAGCCCUACCGGCAGCGGUUUUUGAAUCGCCUACAUUCCACUACAAGGAAGGCCUGGAAUCGGAAAUUUUUCCCGUUGAGAACAAAAUCACCGUGAAUGAUUUUAUGGCAGCCUUCAUGUCCGAACCGGGACCAUCCUGUCUAGUGUGGCUUCCACUGCUUCAUCGAUUGGCCACUGUGGAAGCCGUAGUACAUCCAACGGUUUGCUCCGUUUGUCUGCGGGAAAACUUCACCGGAUUCCGCUACCGGUGUCAGCGAUGCCAUGCGUAUCAACUUUGUCAGGACUGCUUCUGGCAGGGAAGAGUAUCGCUAAACCACCAAAAUGAUCACGAAGUCAAAGAAUACUCAAGCUAUAAAAGUCCCAGCAAACAGAUUGGCCACUCACUGCGCAAAAGUUUCCGGUGUGUACCAGAAAAAACCAAUCAGGUAUUGCCACGGUUUCCGGACCAACCGGAAAAGACGCUAAAUUUGUCACACAUCGUGCCACCUUCGCCCCUGCCAUCGCACAAUGGCUUCAACGAUGGACCGAUGAUCCCCGGAAUGUACGAUCGAAGUAGUACACUUGAUUCUAGAGGAACCGGUCUCUCACUAGAUAGUAAUGGGACAUCGACGCGAGGAGCCAAUUCAAACGAUGAGGAACACAGGCUGAUUGCUCGAUACGCCCAAAGAUUGGCUCAAGAAAGUCGAACGCCCGGAAGCUCUGCACCGGAUCCGGUCCAGAUCGGACUGGACAGUUCCCGAGCUCAGCGUGAGCUGAUCCAACAGCUAGAGUCUAAAAACAAAGAAAUCAUGCGUGAAAUCCAAAAACUUCGCCGCCAGCAGGAAGCCGAACAGGUGGCCCCCGAAAGUCCCGCCCUGAUGAGCGAACUGCGUGCCCUGCGACAGCGAAAGGGGGAGCUCGAAGGUCAUCUGGGAGCACUACAGGACUCACGACGGCAGCUAAUGGCACAGCUCGAGGGGUUGAUGCGGAUGCUGAAGAACCACCAGACGCAGAGUCCCCGUUCCACUCCGAACUCUAGUCCGCGGUCGGGGAAAAGCCCGCCGCUCCCACCCGGUCCACACAUGCCGAGCCAGUCGAGAGGACAACCGCUCCAAAGUAUGCCACCUCAUCUACAGCAAAGUCUAAUUCAACAACAGCAGCACCAUCAGCAGCUCCUAAUGAACAGCCACCACCAGCAGGAACUGAUGAACGGAAUGGGGCCAUCUCACCCGAUGGAUAUGCGAGGCUAUGCCCCCAACGGAAACAAUAAUGGAUCAAAUAACCUGGUCAGAGCUCUGGCAGGAGCUUCCGGGCGGAACGAUUUGCACUACGCGGCCGAUUCCGUUUCGUCGGCAAUGUCGUCACUAGUGCGAGAACUGAAUUCAGGUACUUCUCCGCCGGAGAGCGCAUUUCUUAAGGAGAGAAGAGUCUAACUCCGCAAAUUCACCGGCAGGAUGCUUUCCUCGCGCACAAACCCGCGUACAAAACUAGCACAUUCAAAAGAACCAAAAAAAUAAUUGAAAAUGCUGGCUGCUUAGGCUUCCGUAUUCAACCAACUAAUAACUACUACACAGCCUUCCUACGAACUCGCAGUUCUACAGUCUUCACCAUAGUUGUUUUAUUUGCCCACCAGCUCUGUCUGUUUCACCCGUCAACCCAAACCCACGUGGACGAAUCCGUUUUGAUUUGCUCCCAGGUUCUCCAUGGCACCAGCAACACUGCGUUCACAUUGCCAAGCCUGCCUUGUUUUUACGAUCAAUCAGCUAAACAAUCGAGAAGACAUGAUAUAAAAGACACUAGUAAACAACCAUACCUGAGGCACUUUACACUUUAGUUCAGUUACCAAACUUACACUUUAGUUUAGUUAAAACAAAAAAAAACAAAAAAAAAGAUGAUUUAGCGAUCCAAACGACUAACACAAAAGCCCUCUUUCCAACACCAAAAUGAAAUUGAUGCUUUUUCACACCAAUUGUAACAACCAAUCCAAACAAACCCUUUCACACUGAAUACCAACACGCGAAUAUCUUUCAGAAGGAUCGGACGAUGAGUACAUGCAUUACCAUGUCAGACAUCCGCUAGGUAAGCUAUGAACUGAACUAACGCCAGCUAAAGUCCCAAAUGGAGUUCGUACUAAGCGUACGUCAUUGUAUGAUUUGACAGUUUAUUGUUGUUCAUCACGACGGUCGGAGUUACUGAGCGUAACAAACUUUAGAUCAAGUAUCCAUCAGUAGAGAAAUAAAUAUAAUUUUGUUUUACUCCACAGUAUGUUCAGAUUUGUUGUAUUUCUUUAACUACUAUCAGCGUUCCCUUUCAUGCACAACCCUGCACCUGAAUGGUUUGAAAAUAAGUGGAACCAACAGCAAAAAGCAUUCUUUCUUCGGAAAUUUGUUAGAUUAGGUCAGGACGAAUUGGUUGAAACCAAAUUGACACACAAUCUUUGAAAUAAUACUGCAAAGUCAGGUCAAUGCACAGUGGUUUGAAUCGAUAAAAACGUAAACUUAUUUCUCUAGCUGCUAAACCCUCGAUCCGAUAUAUCAGGUGUACAACUUUGCUUCCGCCGUUUUCCGAUAAGUGGCUGUACCGGCUGAGGCUGGUUAAAAUACAUAGAUGAUAAUGCCAUUAAAGUUAGUGUGUACAGUGCCUAACGAAUUUUCAACGCCGUUUCAGUGACAGUUGUUCUUGUUUUCGUAUUAUUCACGCUCGAAAAUGUCUGUUUAUGUGCCCAAUUCUCGCCAUUUGCGGGAAGUUUUACUUUUCUGUUACAAUUCGAAAAAAAUGCAACUGAAGCGCAUCGAAUGCUUUCAGAAACUUACGGUGAUGUUGCUUUGAGUAAAAGAACGUGUCGGGAGUGGUUUCAGCGUUUUAAAAAUGGUGAUUUCGAUGUCGAAGACAAACAUGAUGGUGGAAGAGAAAAAACCUUCAAAGAUGAAUAACAAUUUACUACGAGCUCUUAAAACCGGGUGAAACCAUCACAGGAGAUCGCUACCGAACGCAACUGAUGCGCCUUAGUCGCGCGCUACAAGAAAAGCGGCCACAGUAUCAAGAGCGACAUGGCAAAGUCAUCCUCCAACACGACAAUGCUCGGCCUCACGUCGCAAAAGUGGUCAAAAAGUACCUGGAAACGCUGAAAUGGGAAGUCUUACCCCACCCGCCGUAUUCCUCAGAUGUCGCCACUUCUGACUUCCACCUAUUCCGUUCGAUGACACACGGCCUGGCAGAUCAACAUUUUCAAUCCUUCGAAGUGUUGGAAAAAUGGAUUGCUUCAUGGAUAGCGUCAAAAAAGGACUCCUUUUUUCGUGCCGGGAUCCGAAAAUUGCCGGAAAGAUGGGAGAAAGUUGUCGUUAACGACGGACAAUACUUUGAAUAAUACAUCUGUAAGCACUUUUUCGCAAUGAAGCUUUAAAUUUUGGAGAAAAAAAACGGUGGAAGCAAAGUUGUACAUAAUACAUAGCUUCUUCGGAGAACUCAUUCACAAAAAUAUGCCUCGUGAUUUGAUCACAAUAAAGAGUGUGCAAAGCCUACUAUGAUAAAAGUUCAUUUCAACAACUUUUUUCUCUUAGGAGAUAGAAAAAUGAUGUCGUCCACAAAGUUUUAGAACUUCUAACGGGAAAAAACUUUGCCGAAGAAGCUAUAGGUUUAACACAAAAAUUUUCGUUUGAAACCACUUAAAAUCAAUUUGUGUACAUAACUUUUUACGAAAUUGUUUUCAAUGUCUAUGAUGUUCAAGACACUAACUAAAAACGUAAAACUACAAUUUUUUAUUGUAGACUGUGUACGAUUUGGCCUAGUCAUUACAAAGUUAUUUAACAUUUUAACUUUUAUGUAUAUUAACUUUAAAUACUUAUACGGAACAGGGUCGCAGUCCAAACUGCACAUACAUAAACUUUUUGUAAAGCUUAUAUCAAGUAACGAAGUGCGUAACGUGGCACUUUUAAGGGGUAACUUACAAUCUUAGAAAAACGGCCAUUGUUGCAAAACGCAAAAGCAGUUUUCUUCGCUAUAGUUAAAUGGAAAUCCAAAAGACAAAUAUCUGUUUGUUAGAAACAGUAUUCUAAACAAACUGAUGUUUUUUCUUUAAGAUUUAUCAAGCAGUAACGGAGGAAGCUGCUUUCGCAUUUUUCAACAAUGGCUGUUUCUCUGAGAUUAUAAGUAGAACCUUAAAUUAUGUAAAUAAGAUCAGAAAAAUAGAGUGCUUUUUGAACCAUUUUCUUAUGAAAAACGUACAAAAAAAAAUUGUUUACCUGGAUAUUACUCGUUUUACAUUUACAUCGAUGACGGUUUUGAAAUCAAGUAUCAUUGACAUAAAAGCACAUUUUAAUAAACCAAAAAUAGUGGCUUUAGUGAAAAAGCACUCUAUAUUUCGUUAUCUUAUCUACACAAUUUAAAAGGGCCACGUUACGCACUCCGUAACUUUAUAUUACUUGAUUUAAGAUUUCUAAAAACUAUAUGUAUGUUAUUCAGGGGUUUGGCUAAAAGCCGUUUUUGUGCUUUGGGCACAUAACCGAUUUCACUAUUCUUUACGUUUCGUCUUCGACUCGUUGUCGACUUACUGCAAAAACUAAAACAGUUCAAUUUGAACCGCUAAGCAGACGUAAAGUUAACGCUAUUCGCGAAAUACUUUUUCAUAUAACUUUGUAAGGACAUGAUCAAAUCGUACACAGUCAUCAACAAAAAUUGUAAUUUUACGUUUUCAAUAAUUGACUCGAACUUUGUUGACAUUGAAAACAAUUGAGAAAAAAGUUAUGUGCAAAAAUAAAAAGAUUUUAGGGGUUUCAAACGAAAAUGCUUCAUAUGUCCGAAAAUUUUUGUGUUGGACCAAAAGUUUCAUCGGCAAUGUUUUUUCUAGUUAAAAGUUCUAAAACUUUUGUCUUUCGUUUCUCUAUCUCUUAAGGGAAGGAAAAAAAGUUGUUGAAAUGAAUGUUUAUUAUAGUAGGCUUUGCACAUUUCUCAUUGUAAUCAAAUCACGAGUUAUAUUUUUAUGAAUGAGUUCUCCGGAGAAACUAAGUGUAUCGGAUCAACGGUUUAGCAGCUAGUGAAUUAAAUUCACGUUUUUAUCGACCCAAACCACUGUGGAACGGUACACCCAGGCAAAAAAUAUAUGGAAUUUCAUAAUGAUAUCGUAUGGUUUUUAACCACAAUAAUAUCCAAAGACCUAUCCAAAUUCCUAUGAAGUCACGAAAAUUAAAAGUCUUAUGAAAUUCAUUCGAAAGUUUUUGGUACAUUCUGCGAAAUAUCUAUGACAAACAUAACUUCUCUCAUAUACUGUCGAAAUUAAGAUGUUCGUAUGAAAACUAUAAUAGGGUAAGGGCUCCCUAUUUCAUCUCAGCUCCAAUUUUCAUCUCAUUCCUUCACCUCAUAACUUUGAACAUUAAUCAUAUCUUUAAACGUACCUGAACGAAACUGUGGAUCGUUUUUAAACAUUUAUUCUAAGUUUUGCCACACUUUCCAAUUGAAAAAAAUAGUUUAAAAACCUUCAACGAUCGCUUUUUUCAUUUAAAAUAAACUCACUUUUUGAUUUAGGAACCACUUUCGUCUGAAGUUUCACAAAUCAUCAUGUUUCUGAAUAUUUACUAAUCGGCUCGUCUCAAAACAUGAUCACUAUUUCACAUAAUUACACAACUAUUCAAUGUUGGAUGACCUUAUAGUUAGUAAUGUUCACUUUCCACUUGUUUAAUCAACGAUUGAAGACUUUUUAAAUUAUCUGAUAAGCAAUAAAGGUAUAAAAAAUAUGAGAUGAAAAAUUGCACUUAAUUCACUUGAUUGCGCUUUAUUUUCAUCUCAUUUCGUGUCGCAAGGUUGCCAAUUUUCUCAUAAUGUUAAAUAAAAAAAUUAUUUUUUCUUCUUUGAAUUAUCAUCAACAAGUAUUUUUUGGUAUCCGUGACAUUAGUUUAAUUAUAUCAUUGAUAUUUAUAUAUAAAUAAAACUGUUUUACCAAAUAGAGCGUUUUAAAUACUAAUCAAAUUACCAUUGUGGCAAUUCUAGUAGCACUGGUUUCUUUCCGCUAUACGUCACCAUAACACUGUUCACAGUGUGUGUUUAUCGGCUGUGCACAGAGAUGCCAGAUAUUUUCAUAGAAAAUAUGUAUAUGCUCUAUUCUGUUUUCACUAAUAAAAUGAAUCAGUUCAAAUUGGUUUAAAAUUUUAAUUUUUUUUAUUAUCAAAUAUUUACACAAAAGAUUUCCAUUUUAACAUGUGAUUUGUCCGUUGAUUAAUAAACUUUCAAAGAAGUACUGCAAUCAAAUACUAACAGAUACUCAGAGAGAAAAGUCUAACGUUUUACUUCUCACUUUUUAUGAACCUUUACAAAUCUGUAAUCUGAUUUAACGAACGCGAACGCAAAAAUUUAUACAAUACAGAUAAAUCUGUAUGAAUGGCAUCUCUGGUUCUACAUUUUGUUUUUAGAAGGUCUAAUGCCUAAAUAGUAACAAUUCUUUUUAAGGAAAAUUCUGACAUUUUGAACCUGAGAGUGUAAUAGUGCAAUAUUUUGGUUUUGAUUGCUGUCGCCAUUGCUAAUUUAUGGGAUGAAUAAAGGACCAACGAUAGGAUGAAUACAAAACCUUCGAGAUGGAAUUAGGAGCACAGUAGUGAACAUAUCAGAAGUGUUUUUAGCUGAUUUUUUAAUUAUUCUUUUAAUUUCCAAGGAAUGUGAAUCAAUUCCCAAUGUGGAGCAAGGCGAAUUACGCAGAAAUAUGAAAAAAUCGUAGUGAUUUUGGCGGCUAAAUCAGGUUUUUAAGGUAACGUCCUUACAAAUGAGAUGAAAUAGGGAGCCCUUACGUUAGUAAUAGAUGAGAUACAUAUUUCAAAGUCAUACACACUAUAUUAAAGGUAAAUUUCAUAUUAAUCCUUUGAAAUGAUAAUUUUGGUGAUUUUUUAUGCAUCACAAGAUUUGCCUUAUGAUUUUCACUACUCAUUUUGCUUAAGUGUACGAUACAGGAUGUGUACAGUGUUUAAAGGGUGUAUUCGAUAAAAAUGGCACACACCUUCCAUUCGAAUCCUGCUCGAAGAACAAACCUUUUUACCAAAGUCUUCUAUACUUUUUCAAGAUGUUUGAUAUGGCUGCUCGAUUACCAAUGGAAAUUGACCUUCAAUAUCAACUUCACUUCUCAAAAUAGCCAUGUAGUGUCGGUAGCGGUUCACAAUUGGCUAAGAAUAACACUACGGUCCACCUGUCCCGGUGGAAUCAGCUUACCAAACAGAUAAGCCGUGUGGCAUCCGGCGGAAUUAUUUCAAUCAAGAACUGAUCCACUGAUUUCCUGUUCCAUGUCGUAAAAAGAUUUCGACUCAAAGUUGGGUAGCGGCUGGUAAGAGUGUAGAACCGGUUUGGUAUUCUGACUGGUUUGCUUUGAUCAAAAGUAACCCAGUGAAUUUCGUCACGAACCGCAUCGGAUCGAAAGAACAGGAAAUCGAUUCGAUCGCAGGGCAUCAACCGUGUAAAUCCAAUAACGCAUCGACAUUAUUGAUUAUCUAGGAAAAAAAUGUCCAACGGAAGUCGCCCGUUGGUCCAAUUCGUUGGACCGUUGAAUGUCCAAUAAAUCGUUCAACUGGAGAACGAUUCUAGACUUUUUUGCCGAUUUUGAAAGAGACCAUUGAACCGAGUGUCAUUCUUUUCGUUCAUCAAACCCAUUGUUGAGCCAUUUUCAAUACGAGAAGUCGGAGCCCCGUUGGACUAGAUUUACUCGAGAAUUUUGGAAUUUAGUAACUAUCUAGUUUUCUAAUAAACACUUCAUACCUGUAGAAUACUUCUACUUCGCGUUUAAAAAUAUUACAUUUCCUCUAUAUAUGAAGAACACACAUAUUUUCACAUUAUUUAAAAAAAAUACAACAACAAACCGCUCCAACAAAUUAAAUGAGUAUUUCGUUCGGCAAACGCUUCAUGCCCAAAUACAUCUAAACGCUUUCUCAGUGGGUUUCCAACCCUAAAUAUAGGGUCAGAAUGUUUUUCUGACCUGAAAAGACUUUAUGGUUGUGGAUGCGAUGGAUGCAAAAUUGCCCGAUGAUGGUUCGAUCGCGGCACUGCGAUCGGACUGGUGUUAUGCUCAAUCGGUCAGUUGAUCUGACUGAUGCAGCUAGACAAAAUUUACUGGGUAAGCUAAUGAACACUAAAAAUCAAGUUUACUUAUUUUUUGAGGAGAAAUCACUCAUUGUCGAGCUCUUCUAUAAGCUACCCAAAAUUAAGAUUUUUUUACAGACCCAAAAUUAGGUUGUUAUCUACUCAAACUUUGACUUGAUCGUAAAAAUGGGUACCGUGUUUAGCCAUGGCAUAACACUUUGGGGAACUUACAUUUACCUAAAUUUUGAGGUCGUCACUCGUUACCUAAAAUUGAGGAGAUGCACUUUUGUUGAUUUUGGGUAGGUUUUGACCCAAAAUUAGAUAGCGACUGGUGAGAGUGAAGGAUGUGAUUCCCAAUUGAUAAUCAAGAGUUUCCAAUUUCUACACGCCGUUCUCUGCCAGAACUUGACAGUAAUGUACAAUCGCGAUCUUAUCCGUAAAGCUUGUGAAAUUAAUUUUUUGUUUAUAAUUUUACAUGAAACGGUCCUCUAUAGGAUUUAAUUUAAAAACGAACAAACCUAGACAGAAGUGACCGAUAAUACUCGGUAAAUCUAAGUCUGUUGGGCUUAAUAUAGAUUUUUUUCAACAUGACAUGCUUUAACCGAAAUGAUCCUUUCAACGGAACGUCAUUCGAGGACAUGGCUCUCGUGAAACGGAUUUCGACGAAGCGGCUUUUGACAAAACGGUUUGCUAUUCAUAUUUUGAGUGGCCAUACAAAACUUAUCUAGUGAAUAUUGGACAAAUUCUCACAUUAGUUCUACUCAAAACGUUCAAUAAAAUUACACACAAUCGUUGGAAGAAUGCUUUUUGCUGUAAGUUAAAUAAAAAGAGCAUAUAAAAAAUCUCUUUCCAUCAAUCAGCAUUUUUUGUGUUUAAUAGUGUCCAAAUUAUUACUUCAUGGCUGACUAAUCUUGAAUAAUACAAAAUUACUUACCUUUUGCAGAUUUCGAUGAAAUGCACAUGACCAGUCAUGAGUGGAGCGACAAGGACAACGCCCAGUGGCAGGAGCAGUUCGCUCAGUGGAGUCUCAACCCUCAGAAUCAGUAAGUGCGAAACCGUACCACAGAGAACAGAUGCGAACGUUAAAGUGGUCGUUAGAAAGAAAAAAAACGAGCAACUGGCCCAGCACUUGCUUUAAAUACCACCAGGGGCGUUUCAAUCGGCUAGCAGACUACAGGAACUUGCGCGCAAACUUUCGUACGAUUGCAAUUUGAUAAUAAAUCACCAGAGGCGCUACAAUCGAGUAGCAGACUCGGAAAACCGUUCACAGGAAUAUCGACGCAAAAAUGAUUAUGAUGAAAAUUUUUACACAACCAGUGGAGUCUAUUCUCUGUGACCGAAUGUUAGCGAAAUGGAAACUAGAUCUUUGUAAUAGCUUUAGAAGUGAACAAAGAGUAAUAGCAAAAUAGAUAUCAAGUUGAAAAAUAUGUAAAACGACAUACCUUUUCAAAUGAAAAGAAAACCAAGAAAGUUACUGGAAUUCACGUUUUAAAUAUUUGAUAGAACCGAGUAACAAGUUUUCCAAUAUUUGAAAUGGCAUGCCGGUGCAAACGGUGUUUUCAUAUGUUAUUAUCGAAAAAAGAACUAUGACGGGAACCCUUAUGAAUCAAUUUUUCUUGUAGUGAAAACAAGUUCGAAAUACAACAAAACAAAUCUCAUACAUCUAGAAAAUUACUUGCUUAUCAUAUCAUUACCGAAACAUAUACAAAUUCAUAAUCAAUCAUAAGCGGAACGCAAAGACAGUUAUUCACCCGCAAAAAUUUGCUGGGAAAGUAUCUCAAAGAACUUUUUAGUUUAGGUCAGUAGCUUUUAAGUGAUGUAAAUUUCCACUUCAUUCGUCGAUAUUCUAGCGAGUAUAAUCAAACAGUUUGUUGUGAUCUUUAAGUUAACUGCAAGUAUUUAUUAAUACCUAUUCAAACCUGACGUAGCAAAACGAUUCCAUUCCAAUAAGAAACAGGAAAGUUACUUAACUAUUGUCUUCGUUGUAUCACUUUUUUCGAUUUUUAUUACAGUGCGCUACUGCAAACGCAUAUUAUAAAAGUAUGUCGAAUUUAUGUUUUUCUACAAUGUUUGGCCAUCAUUGAACUAGAUCAAGCUCCUUAAACGCACACAUGUACAAAAUAAUUUAGUAAUAUGAACCCUUAAUAAUAGGUUAAUUCAAUAGAUAACUAAUGUUUUAACAGAAAACACUAUUUCGCUAUAAAAAAAUGCAUCAAUUCUUCACCCAAAACAGUGAACCAAUUCUCAAAAGAAUUUAGCGAAUAUUUUAACUCGCUCAUGAAACUUACCCUAACUAACCUCUCUUUCGACAAAGACCAGCUCGAUGCAAGAUAACAUAACCUAGCAAAAAUACUCCGAAGAAGUGUAUCGUGAAUUAUCUAACCAAAGUAACUAACGAAAAAAUCGACGUCCAUGAAAAAGAAACCAAUCCAAGCAAACUGAGUGGUGUUUAGCAAACAAAAUUGUGUGUUGGAAACAGUUUAGCAGCUUACGUAUUCAGACAAACAAAAAAAAACUUUGUUUUUCACAAAUGCAAACAAUAUCUGAACUAAUCAUUCGAUUUCUGUAAAGUCAACGGAAUUUUCUUCCGAAAGUAUAGGAACAAUGAUAACAAUCGGAAAGCAUAGAGCACACCCAUUUUGUUAUAACCGUGCAUGUUUAGGCUAGGGACAACAAUCAAGUCAUAAAUAGUCAAAGAGCUCUACCACAGUUGACGUAGGACUACGCUGCUUUGUGGAAAAUACCAUUUAUUGAUUAUGACAAUAAAAUUGUUCUAUUUAUUUUGUUUGUUAAAGUGUGUUAAAGCCAUCUUGAACUUAGGUUAACAUUUAUUAGUAGAAAAACAAAUUGCAAAUUUACUGUGUUUAGGGUAGUUUAAUUGGGAAAAUAACUUCCCGAAUAAGAAAAUUUCGGGUUUCGUGUCCAGUUUCUGUGGUAUUUUAUUCGCAAAUUUUCAUUUCUGCUAUUUUUCGUCGGUCCUAUUCCAAUUCAUUUUGCCGCCAAUUCAUCAGUACGCAGAACAAUUUCAUGAUUAACAACAAGAAUCCUUCCAGGGACUCGAAAAUACGAGAAACGAUUCGCGAGAUCAGCGCCGUUGAAUAUAUAGGUAGUUUUUUGCUCAGAAUGCAAAUGCUCUCCAACAGUCAUCGUUUUUCCAGCGAAUUUCUUUAUAGCAUUUUUAAGAAAUAUUCCAACAUAAGAAUCAACAGCGUAGUCCUACGUCAAAGUAAAACCAAAGUAAAAGUCAUUGUAAAACCGUAAAAUGACUUAUCGAAUCAGCUUCUAGGAUGCAUAUUUAGCAAAAAAAAAUACAAAUUUUGGCUCAAAACAGAAUGAAAUAAUAGAAGGAGAUAGACGCAUUAGCAAAUUUACUUUGUGAAGUUGACAAUUAAUGACACUGUUAGAUACUUUCCAGGUCAACAUGUGAUUUUCGAACGAGUACUUACCUGAAGUUGCAACGAGACUCAUUCAAACGCAUUGAAGAAGUGACAUAGAAAAACAGUUGUCACUAACUAUAAUAUAAUUAUUAAUAGAUCGGUGAAGAGGUGCAAUUAGUUCUUGUUGAUAUACUACACAAACAAACUUAUUGAAAGGAAAUGUAUUCAUGAAUAAAAAAAAGACAAAAGAAAGAAAUUUGAAACAAAUAAAUCAAUACAAUAACCAAAUCAUACUGAAAAUAA